AUCCAGCUGACGAGUCCCAAAUAGAAAAAAACGCACGUCCUGGAU
rfam:Schistosoma haematobium scaffold1686_7, whole genome shotgun sequence.